GUGGGGAAUAUUGCACAAUGGGCGCAAGCCUGAUGCAGCCAUGCCGCGUGUAUGAAGAAGGCCUUCGGGUUGUAAAGUACUUUCAGCGGGGAGGAAGGGAGUAAAGUUAAUACCUUUGCUCAUUGACGUUACCCGCAGAAGAAGCACCGGCUAACUCCGUGCCAGCAGCCGCGGUAAUACGGAGGGUGCAAGCGUUAAUCGGAAUUACUGGGCGUAAAGCGCACGCAGGCGGUUUGUUAAGUCAGAUGUGAAAUCCCCGGGCUCAACCUGGGAACUGCAUCUGAUACUGGCAAGCUUGAGUCUCGUAGAGGAGGGUAGAAUUCCAGGUGUAGCGGUGAAAUGCGUAGAGAUCUGGAGGAAUACCGGUGGCGAAGGCGGCCCCCUGGACGAAGACUGACGCUCAGGUGCGAAAGCGUGGGGAGCAAACAGGAUUAGAUACCCUUGUAGUCC
rnacentral:rRNA from 1 species